GGAGAGAUGGCCGAGCGGUUGAAGGCACCGGUCUUGAAAACCGGCAGGGUGAAAGCCCUCGUGGGUUCGAAUCCCACUCUCUCCGCCA
rnacentral:tRNA from 1 species